UAAAACCGUCAUAUUAUUAUUGAAAAUAAAAUAAAUAAUUACAAAUGAGGCAAUUAAAGUAUUUACAUUUAAGAGGGUGUACGGAUUAAUUACCACAGUUUUACAAUAAUUGUUUACUUAAUAUAGCGAGACAUGGCCAAAGGGACUGUUUUCUGGUCUUUUUAUACUUAUUAUUUAUUUCCAGAUAUAUUGUGGACAAAGGUGGUGUAUAUUUAUUGAGAAGAGUUAUUCCAGUUAAUAAUGAAGAAGGAUUAAUGUCUAGAGUUGUCCCGGUAUUGCCAGCCCUGACAUAACUUUCACAAGUAUACCAGGAUCUAUACUGUCAAAGGAACCUUGAACAUCAAGGAAUAUACAAACAGUAUGUAAAUUAUUUUCCUUCCCAUGUUUCAGAUCAGAUAUUAAAGAGAUGAAACUAUCAGCACAGCUUCGCCCUCGUCUAAAGCCAUAUUGGACAUUGGGAAUUAUGUGAUUAGCUUCAACAUACCAGUCAAGACGGACUUUUAACAUUGAUUCAAAAAUUUUGCCAAGACAUGAAGAUAAAGAUAUUGGUCUAUAUGAGCUAGCAAGUUCUGGUGCUUUGUCUGGUUUAAGUAUUGGAAUAACACACUGUGUUUUCCAUGCCUGUGGAAUAUAGUUGUUAAGCCAAAGAAGAUUGAGAAUGUCUAGAAAUAUUUUUUGAGCUGAUUCAUCCAAAUUUUUAAUCAAUAGAUAAGGGUAGUCAUCCAUACCAGGUGUUGUAUUACGUCUAGAUUGUAAACUUAUUGCAAAUUCUGACCAAGUAAAAAUUUAGAAUUUUGAUUGUCAUUGUUUAAGUUAAAAUAAAUAUUCAGGUUACUAGUCUCACUUAAAUUACUAUUAUCUGUUAUGUUAUCUAAAAAGGUUGGUAUGAAUUCAUCUCUACAUGACCUAUUGCCAGUUUUAACAUGUUUAAACAUUUUAAGUAAAUUCCAAAUCUUACUAAUGGGUGUUGUUCUACUGAAAGUAUUAGUUAGAUUAUUCCAACCAAUUUUUUUCUGCUCUGCUAUUGUUCUUUUUUUCUGUGCAUCCUUUCUUUUAUAGUUAAUAUAAUUCUCUAUGGAUGGUACAUUUCUAUAUAAUUUUAAAGCAUUAUAUGAUGCAAUGACACUUUGUUCACAAAUAUCAUUCCACCAGGGUGUGGGCAAUCUACUUUUGAAACUGUUUGAUUCUGAAAGUUUAGGUAUUGUCAUAGUUUUUAAUGUAUUCAAACAAGAGCAGAAAGCACUAUAAGUUAAUAUAGGGUCAUCAAAAUUUAUGAUAAAAUUAUUGAAAACUGUUCUGGAAAGAGUGUUGUAUUUAGUCCAAUCUGCCUUUUUAUAUAAAAAUCUGUCUACUGGUGAACCAAUGUGAUAUUUAUCAAUAGUUAAGGAUAUUUCUGUUAUUGUAGGGUAAUGUUAACUACCCAUGGCAUUGUCAUGUACAAACCAUUCACACAUGGAUGCAAGACUAGCACUGAUGAAGCUAACAUCAAUAGCAGAAGGAUUUCGUCUGGGUUGGUUGACAGUUGUAAAUCUACCAUCAUUCAAAAUCUAAGUCGUCAAUAAUAUUAAAUAAGCUGUGGCCUCGACUCUUACUAGAUAAACAACCAAAUGCUAUAUGGUGAGCAUUAAAGUCACCACUUACAAAUAUUGGUUUUGGAAGAUUAUUAAUUAUACUAUGUAAUCUAUUUAAUCUAAUAUGACGACUAGUAGGUGGACAGUAAACACAAAGAACAGUCAAAUUACCGCU